CGCAGGCUGUAGAUCAAGUCAGCUGUGAAAUGUCUGGGCUUAACCCGGGCAUGCGGUUGAAACUGAUGUACUGGAGUGCUGUAGAGGCAAGUGGAAUUCCCAGUGUAGCGGUGAAAUGCGUAGAUAUUGGGAAGAACACCAGUGGCGAAGGCGACUUGCUGGGCAGCAACUGACGCUGAGGCGCGAAAGCCAGGGGAGCAAACG
rnacentral:rRNA from 1 species